GACAGAGGAUGCAAGCGUUAUCCGGAAUGAUUGGGCGUAAAGCGUCUGUAGGUGGCUUUUUAAGUCCGCCGUCAAAUCCCAGGGCUCAACCCUGGACAGGCGGUGGAAACUACCAAGCUGGAGUACGGUAGGGGCAGAGGGAAUUUCCGGUGGAGCGGUGAAAUGCGGUAGAGAUGUGGAGGAACACCGAUGGCGAAGGCACCCCCUGGGUCAAGAUUGACGC
rnacentral:rRNA from 1 species